GACAGAGGGUGCAAACGUUGUCCGGAUUCAUUGGGCGUAAAGAGCGUGUAGGCGGCCAGGUAGGUCGGUUGUGAAAACUGGAGGCUCAACCUUCAGAGGUCGACCGAAACCAUCUGGCUAGAGUCCGGGAGAGGAGAGUGGAAUUCCUGGUGUAGCGGUGAAAUGCGCAGAUAUCAGGAAGAACACCCGUGGCGAAAGCGGCUCUCUGGAACGGUACUGACGCUGAGACGCGAAAGCGUGGGGAGCGAACAGG
rnacentral:rRNA from 1 species